UUAGCCCUUCUAUUUGAGAUUUAUUCACUCAAAGAAUGGCCAUGUGAGGAUUCAUUCAUUCUGAAAAAUGCUAAUACAAGGUCGAUUAAUAUCAACCCCAAACUGGUUGGCUGAUUGCACGAGCUAUCCAUUUUUCUUCAAAUUAUAUCUACUCGAGUGGGAGCUGUGAUCCGGCAUCAGACUUGCCAGGCAGGUGUGAUUGCGCGUGAGCUCAAGCAAGCAAGCAAGCGCGCGGCGUGGCUGCA
rnacentral:lncRNA from 1 species